rnacentral:rRNA from 1 species
GACGAACGCUGGCGGCGUGCUUAACACAUGCAAGUCGAACGGUGAAGCGCCUUCCUUUUUGGUGGGUGUGGAUGAGUGGCGAACGGGUGAGUAACACGUGAGUGACCUGCCCCCUUCUUCUGGAUAACCGCAUGAAAGUGUGGCUAAUACGGGAUAUUCUGGGUCUGUCGCAUGAUGGGUCUGGGAAAGAUAUUGUUUCGGUGGGGGAUGGGCUCGCGGCCUAUCAGCUUGUUGGUGGGGUGAUGGCCUACCAAGGCGGUGACGGGUAGCCGGCCUGAGAGGGUGGACGGUCACACUGGGACUGAGACACGGCCCAGACUCCUACGGGAGGCAGCAGUGGGGAAUAUUGCACAAUGGGCGCAAGCCUGAUGCAGCGACGCCGCGUGAGGGAUGGAGGCCUUCGGGUUGUGAACCUCUUUCGCCAGUGAAGCAGGCCUGCCUCGUUUGUGGGUGGGUUGACGGUAGCUGGAUAAGAAGCGCCGGCUAACUACGUG